rnacentral:rRNA from 1 species
UACGUAGGGGGCAAGCGUUGUCCGGAUUUACUGGGCGUAAAGAGCGUGUAGGCGGCUAAGCAGGUCCGUUGUGAAAACUCGAGGCUCAACCUCGAGACGUCGGUUGAAACCGUAAGGCUAGAGUCCGGAAGAGGAGAGUGGAAUUCCCGGUGUAGCGGUGAAAUGCGCAGAUAUCGGGAAGAACACCCGUGGCGAAGGCGGCUCUCUGGGACGGUACUGACGCUGAGACGCGAAAGCGUGGGGAGCAAACAGG